rnacentral:rRNA from 1 species
GACGAACGCUGGCGGCGUGCCUAAUGCAUGCAAGUCGCACGCGGCACCUUCGGGUGCUGAGUGGCGAACGGCUGAGGAACACGUGGGGACCUGUCCGGGAGUGGGGGACAACACCGCGAAAGCGGUGCUAAUCCCGCAUACGCUCUGGGGAGGAAAGCCGAAAGGCGCUCCCGGGUGGCCCUGCGGCCCAUCAGGUUGUUGGUGGGGUAACGGCCUACCAAGUCAAUGACGGGUCGCUGGUCUGUGAGGACGACCAGCCAGACUGGGACUGGGACACGGCCCAGACUCCGGCGGGAGGCAGCAGCAAGGAAGUUUCGGCAAUGGGCGCAAGCCUGACCGAGCAACGCCGCGUGCAGGAAGACGGCCUUCGGGUUGUAAACUGCUUUUGCUAGGGAGGAUAACAGACAGUACCUGGCGAAUCAGCCCCGGCUAACUCUGUG